AUUGAACGCUGGCGGCAGGCCUAACACAUGCAAGUCGAGCGGUAACAGAGAGUAGCUUGCUACUUUGCUGACGAGCGGCGGACGGGUGAGUAAUGCUUGGGAAUAUGCCUUUUGGUGGGGGACAACAGUUGGAAACGACUGCUAAUACCGCAUGAUGUCUACGGACCAAAGUGGGGGACCUUCGGGCCUCACGCCAAAAGAUUAGCCCAAGUGGGAUUAGCUAGUUGGUAAGGUAAUGGCUUACCAAGGCAACGAUCCCUAGCUGGUUUGAGAGGAUGAUCAGCCACACUGGGACUGAGACACGGCCCAG
rnacentral:rRNA from 1 species